CCUACGGGUGGCAGCAGUGAGGAAUCUUGGUCAAUGGCCGGAAGGCUGAACCAGCCAAGUCGCGUGAGGGACGACUGCCCUAUGGGUUGUAAACCUCUUUUAUAAGGGAAGAAUAAAUGCUACGUGUAGCAUGAUGCCUGUACCUUAUGAAUAAGCAUCGGCUAACUCCGUGCCAUCAGCCGAGGUAAUACGGAGGAUGCGAGCGUUAUCCGGAUUUAUUGGGUUUAAAGGGUGCGUAGGCGGUUUGUUAAGUUAGUGGUAAAACGUCGGGGCUUCACCUUGGUGUGCCAUUAAUACUGUAAGACUCGAGUUCAGACGAGGUAGGCGGAAUAAGAUGAGUAGCGGUGAAAUGCUCAGAGAUAACGAAGAACUCCGAUGGCGAAGGCAGCUUACCAGACUGCGACUGACGCUGAAGCACGAGAGCGUGGGUAGCGAACAGGAUUAGAUACCCGGGUAGUC
rnacentral:rRNA from 1 species